rnacentral:rRNA from 1 species
UCAUGUAAUGAUUUCCUAGUGGUCUUAUGUACAUGGUUUAGAAAUACGCAGUUAAGCAUGCUCAGGCUAGUGUAGUACUAGGAUGGGUGACCACCCGAGAAGUCCUAGUGUUUUACAUGCC